GGGAAGAGAAGUUCUUUUUCUGUUGGGCUGCUGAGGGGCGAUGAGGCCAGCCUGGGAGUGGUGGUGGAGAGGCCCCCUGAGCAGGACAGCAGCACAGAGGGCAGGAAGCCAAGCCAAGAGGCUGGGAGGGACGAUCCCUGCUGAUGGCGUCGAGCACCCAGGAAGAAAAAUCUCUCACAGAAGCCCCCAUAGACUUCCCCUAACGUCUCAUUGGCCAUAAUGAGUCUUUGCCAGGACCAAUCACCAGAGGUGGGGGAGAGGAGGGGUGAGCAGUUGCCCUGACUGGCUUGGACCUACCAUGAUUCCUCCAAAAUGAGCAUCCACGGGAAGAAGGCCAGGUGGAAUGUGCAGAGGCAGCUGUGUGAGCAACCAACUUGAUCCUGCCAUGAAGGAGAAAUGGACAAGGGAGCUGAGGUUUCAAAGACAAGGGGACAGAAGAGCAGGAGGAGCAGCACGUGCAGAUCCUCAGAGAUGCAGAGAGCAGAGCCGCAGAGAUGCAGAGAUGCAGAGAGCAGAGAGCAGAGGCUCAGAGAUGCAGAGAGCAGAGAUGCAGAGAGCAGAGGCGCAGAGAUGCAGAGAGCAGAGAUGCAGAGAUGCCGAGAGCAGAAAGCACAGAUGUAGAGGAGAGAUGCAGAGAGCAGAAAGCACAGACGUAGAGGAGAGAUGCAGAGAGCAGAGAUGCAAAGGCGCAGAGCAGAGAGCUAAGAUGCAGAGGCGCAGAGAUGCAGAGAGCAGAGAUGCAGAGAUGCUGAGAUGCAGAGAUGCACAGGUGCAGAGAGCAGAGGCGCAGAGGCAGGAGGUGAGCCAGCACAGGAUGACUGUGGUUCAUUCCCGCAUGAGCACAGCACAGGUCGGGAGCAGUGGGCGGGGUCUCCUAUUACUUUUGAUGCCUGGAGCGAGGCAGGUCCUGGGCAAUAGGGAGCUACUGAGAGACACUGAGCAGAGAGUGAAGGCAGGCGCAGAAGGAAAUCACAGGUGUGCAGAGGUCCCUGGACUUUGGGAGCUGAGCAGAGCCCUUCUGUGACUGGCAAUAAUGUUGCUGACAAACCGGGAGGCCUCUGCCCC
rnacentral:lncRNA from 1 species